CUAUCGAGUGGCCUCGAACUGGCGCUCCUCCUGCGUCAGCCUCUCGAGUAGCAGGGAUGACAGCCUCCUGCCACAGGCUGGCCAUGAUGGUCAUGGCGCUAACCUCGCUGGUUCUCAGCAGGAAACCGCGCGGGGAAGGCCACCCAAGCGCAGCACGAGGGAAGGGGGGCCGCUGUCCUUCUAGGUGACUUCUGCCCUCCCCAGGCUGCCCGUCCUAGAGACCGAAUUUCCAGCUGGAGAUUCUCGCCCCAGCACUCUGGACUCUGUCACCAGCCACCGCUCAUCCCACUGCUUCAUCCCGAGCUACCUGGAGAUGCGAUAGGGCGAACUGGUGUCCACGCUGCUGACGGCCGCCAAGGGGACCCCAAGUGGCUGCACGCUGUCCUGGCUUCCAUCCAGCAGAACAUCCACUCCCCAGCUCUGCUCUUCAGGCUGGCGAAAAACGUCAGCAAGACAGCCACCCCGGCCAGGUCGCCUCCGGACGUCACGCUGCUGGGCAUAGCGCUGGAGCCGGGCCUGCAGAUGCGAGGCCAGGGCGGCGCCUCGCG
rnacentral:lncRNA from 1 species